AAGUGCUUCAGUGUGAGUGUGUGAUAGUUUACAGGGACCAGUUAGGUUUGUUCCCUUUGGGGUACAAACAGUUCCAGGCUGAUUUUUGCUUGUAAUAAUUUGUUCUUGUGCAGCUAGUAUUUAUCUCGCAGCAAAGAAGGUCUGUGCUUUGCCUGUGCCCCUUGAGCAGGGGCUUGACUGCCGUGAAUUUUGAUGAGCCUGUUUAGGUGACCAAAGGACUCUGCAUAUCUUGCACUGCCCUGCUCAGAGGAGCUGAUGAGCCUGUAGGUCCAAGCCACUGCGAGAAGCUCCCCAACAACCAGGCUCCCCAACUUCCCCUGCUGCAAGCAAGUCUGGGGUGUACACGUGCCAUUUUCCUCUGUUCAUGUAACGAGCUGGAAGUCUGGGCUUCACUUGUGCCCUCUGACUGGAGACUUUGGUUUGUAGUACGGCUAGUGAUCUGCCCUGACUGACCUGAGUGAGCAACGGGCACUGCGCACACAUGGUGAAUGUGGGGAGGCUCCUCAGGAGAAUAUGAUCAUGCAUGCUUGUGGAUGCUGGGAGGAUCUGAUGUCAGCAUUCAAACCUGACAGAGAAUACAGAGAACCAAGAUGGUCAAGUUGGAAAGAACUGCAUAUCCCAAGACCUCUGUCCCUGGACUCGUCUGUGCCAAGAGGUACCCAGCCACUGCGUGUCAUCAUUGCAGAGUGACCGGAAAUGAUGAGCAGAUGUCAGUCUGGCGCCUAUCAGCAGCACUAGAGCAGCGCUAAUGGGAAAAGACAGUGCUCACUGAAACCCAUCUCUCUAAAAUGGCACCAGCUAAAAGCCAAUUUUUGUUUCUCAGUGGAACUAAAAAACAAGAGUCCUUGGUUUUCCAGAAGAUGUAAAAAGCAUUAGUAGGAAAUUAUUGAAGAUACCUCUUGAUCUACUUUCCUCAGGAAUGGGAGGGAAAUAUAAGAUGAUCAGCCACAAUUGUCAGAUAAGGUGCUUGCAUCAACGAUUUUUUCACUGACGUGAUCAAUGCUUAGAGAUUAUGCGGACUGGAGCUUUUGAUGUGUGCAGUGUUGUUUAAAUUGGGCAAUAACAACUAGUUUACCAUGAAGCAUUUAAAUUCUGAAUGAUGAUAUGACUACACCAGUAGCUCUACUCAAAGAAUAUCACUUUAAUCCGGCAUGAUCUCUGUGAAGCUGGUAUCAUAGACAUCAUUGUUCUCAUUAAAGAUGGGGCAUGAAGAUGUUAAAUGGCUUUGCCCAUAGUCAUGCCGUGAGUCAAUGGAUGAAACAGAGACUAGAUCUCAGUUAUCCUAGUUUUUAAUGCUGUGCUUUAGUCACUACACCAGUUUUCUCCAUGAUUGUACAACACACAUUAAUGAAGACCCACUUAGCUCUUUACCAAAAUGUAUCUCCUGCAUGCACUGGCAUGGUCUUCCAAGCAAAAGCAGCCAUAAACUAAUAAUAAUAAUAGUAAUAAUAAUAAUAAAGGAUAUUUAUUCUG